CGUAAUUCCUGUAGACUCUCAUUUCUAAUUAAUUCCCCGCAGAAUUCAACUUAACGAGUCCAAAAGAAGAAACCCAAAGCUUCUCGAAAGAAUUCACCUUAACAAGCCCAAAGGAAGCAACCCAAAAACUCCAAUCCACGAUGGAAAGCUCCUCCAAAGAAUCCCGGUGCGAUCCGGGAGAAAGACGACAACGGCCGCGCCAUGGAAAGCGAGGAAGCCCGAACGGCAGAAGCGAUUCGCAGGGAACCCAAAGCCAGACGAAAUUAUGACUCUUCCGCGGGGAGACGACCACGAUUGAUUUCACCUGGGCGAUCUCUCUCUCUCUCUGCGCGAUGAAAGACCGCGAUAGGAAGCAAAAGGAGAGUGUUGCAUUGACGAACGGGUUCGUUCUCCUCGUUCGAUCUCUCUUCGCUCGGCCGGCGAUCGGUAACGCCGCCGCCAGCUCCUGAGGAUUUUCCUGAAGGACUUCCCUACCUGAGGCUAUCAGGACGACGCACAGCAGCAACUCUCUUCUCCGUGUGAUCAUUUCGUUUCGGUUGUCACAGCCAGUGUGUAUGUGUGUGUGUGUGUGUGUGUCUGUCCCGUUCCCGACCGCACGGUGUACAAGUACUCUCGAAUUUCGCGCAACCGUCUGGCCACCCGGAAUGAUCGUUAAGCUCGAGCUGCGUUACUGCGGUUUGCCAUCGGCGGUGCACUUGGCGGGUCUGGUCUCGCGGCACUGGCGGCCGGGGUUCGCCAGCAACACCUUCUGCUCAUGGCUACAGACUCGGAAACCGGACGGUAGAGGAACCGUUCCUUAGCUCAUUGGCUGACCACUUUCUACCACCGUCCCGGUCCGCCGAGAAAUCCUGGCUUUUAUCUGCGUUAGAACACGCACACCGGCCCGCGCUGAAAGUUGUACGUUUCUCAUUUCAUUCCCGGAUGGGUCCGCAUUCGAUUUUUAGCUGACGAUAAAAAGCUUCGUUUCUUCUGCUCCUUUUGUUCCCGCCGACUUUUUCUUCCGUUUCGUCGGCCGAACGGGCUCGGAACCGACGCCCGAAACGGGUCUAGCUUGUUGCCAGACCGUGCGUGUUUCUGCGGAUUUUUGCUGCGACCGUUGCGUGCAGGAUUUUUGAGUCGGGGCUUGUAACGGGAGACGGUUUCAGGAUAAUGGUUUCGAUGGGAUGUAUGGAUUUGAGAUUGUAUUGGAUGUUGUAUGAGCGUUGUGUGGGAGAGGAUGUUGGUGUGGUAUGGUUUGGUAGAAUGGAAAAGAAUUUGUUUAUAUAGGAGAGGAUAUUAAUGUAAUAUAGUUUGAUAGAAUGGUAAAUAACUUGUUGAUGUAGGAGAAGAUAUUAAUGUAAUAUAAUUUGAUAGAAUGGUAAAUAACUUGUUUAUAUAGGAGAGGAUAUUAUUCUGUAAGUUGAAUGUAAAAAGAUAAGGGGGCAAGAAGAAAGAAUGUCAAGAAGUUGAAAGACACGUUGCCAGGAAAAUGGCAGGUUUCAGUUAGUUAUGUAUUAAUUAGAGCUUUGAAAGGUUUCCAAAUGAACCGAGCAAUUCGUUGAAUUGUAAUGAACGUUUUGUUAUAUUGAAAUUUACACAUUAAGAAAAAUAAUUCUCUUGAAUCAGAAGAAUAAGUAAAUAGUUUGAUUGUUGAGAUUAGGGGAAUUAUUGAAUGAUGUUCAUAAUUCAGUUUUAAUCAUUUGCGGUCCCCUCUUCCGUUUCUCCUUCUUCGGCGCUCUCUUUGUCUUCGUCGUCCCUUUGUUUCCUUCUUGAGAGUCAACUGUUCGCCGAUGAGGAAUAAAAUAUCCCGGUUUGCGUUCCGUUAUAUUGAGUUCUUGACUCACCGAAUUAAUUAAAGUUGCCGUUUCUUCGUCUAAUAAAUGUCGGCAUCGGUUUGUAAAAUUCAGGGACCAGCUUAUCGUCUCGAUCCACUUUGGAUGCGCCUUCAAUAUACGAUACGUUAUUUCCGGGAAAUGCUGGACAAUAUCCCCAAAGAGAGCUGUGUUCUCUAAUACAGUGGACAAUGCUGUAAACAAAUUGUACAUUUGAUUAAUUAAAGUACUAAAUAAUCAGUACUUUUAACUUAAUCUAAUACUCAGUAUUUAAGUCAGUAUUUUUAACUCAAUCUAAUGCUCAGUAUUUACCUCAGUACUUUCAACUUAAUAUAAUACUCAGUAUUAAUUAAAAUAUUCAAUAAUCAUCGUUUCAAGUAUUUAAAUAUAUUAAAUAAUCAUAUUCAUUUUAUAUUACCGCUUUGCACAGUAACAUCCCGUGGCAGAGAUCUAU